GUUUUCGGGUAAUUACGGUUAGCUUGACUAGCUGAGGAAAGUCCAUGCUCUCACAAGCUGAGAGUGCUUGUAGUGUUCGUGCUUAGCGAAAAAAUAAGCUAAGGCAGAUGUGUUUCACAUUUGACGGCAGUUAAAACAGCUAAGGCUCUUAGGGCUAUGCUGGAGUAGACUUGAAAGUGCCACAGAGACGAAGCAAUAUUAGAAAUAAUAUUGGUGGAACGGGUAAACCCCACGAGAGAGCAACCCAAACAUAAGGUAGGGGCACUUUUUUCUAGGAAAUGAACGAAGAAAAGAGGCAGUCGUAAGAUUGCAGACAGAUUAUUACCGUUACUUUUUGAUCCUGAGAGAAAGUAAUACAGAACAUGGCUUAUAGAA
rnacentral:RNase_P_RNA from 2 species